UUGAAUGAACAAAUGGAAGCCUCUCGUGUG
rnacentral:piRNA from 1 species